UAAGUAUAAGCAANNUUAUACCGUGAAACUGCGAAUGGCUNCAUUAAAUCAGUUAUCGUUUAUUUGAUAAUACCUUACUACUAGGAUAACCGUGGUAAUUCUAGAGCUAAUACAUGCUGAAAAUCCCGACUUCGGAAGGGAUGUGUUUAUUAGAUAAAAAACCAAUGCCCUUCGGGGCUCUUUGGUGAUUCAUGAUAACUUUACGGAUCGCAUAGCCUUGCGCUGGCGACGGUUCAUUCAAAUUUCUGCCCUAUCAACUUUCGAUGGUAAGGUAUUGGCUUACCAUGGUUUCAAAGGGUAACGGGGAAUUAGGGUUCGAUUCCGGAGAGGGAGCCUGAGAAACGGCUACCACAUCCAAGGAAGGCAGCAGGCGCGCAAAUUACCCAAUCCCGACACGGGGAGGUAGUGACAAUAAAUACUGAUACAGGGCUCUUUUGGGUCUUGUAAUUGGAAUGAGUACAAUUUAAACCUCUUAACGAGGAACAAUUGGAGGGCAAGUCUGGUGCCAGCAGCCGCGGUAAUUCCAGCUCCAAUAGCGUAUAUUAAAGUUGUUGCAGUUAAAAAGCUCGUAGUUGAAACUUGGGCCUGGCUGGCGGGUCCGCCUCACCGCGUGCACUCGUCCGGCCGNGGCCUUCCUUCUGAAGAACCUCAUGCCCUNCACUGGGCGUGUUGGGGAAUCAGGACUUUUACUUUGAAAAAAUUAGAGUGUUCAAAGCAGGCCUUUGCUCGAAUACGUUAGCAUGGAAUAAUAAAAUAGGGCGUGCGUUUCUAUUUUGUUGGUUUCUAGAGACGCCGCAAUGAUUAACAGGAACAGUCGGGGGCAUCAGUAUUCAGUUGUCAGAGGUGAAAUUCUUGGAUUUACUGAAGACUAACUACUGCGAAAGCAUUUGCCAAGGAUGUUUUCAUUAAUCAGUGAACGAAAGUUAGGGGAUCGAARACGAUCAGAUACCGUCGUAGUCUUAACCGUAAACUAUGCCGACUAGGGAUCGGGCGAUGUUCUUUUUCUGACUCGCUCGGCACCUUACGAGAAAUCAAAGUUUUUGGGUUCU
rnacentral:rRNA from 1 species